rnacentral:rRNA from 1 species
CACGUAAGGUGCGAGCGUUGUUCGGAAUUAUUGGGCGUAAAGGGCAUGUAGGCGGAUAGGCAAGCUUGGUGUGAAAUGUUACAGCUUAACUGUGAGACAGCAUUGAGAACUGCCGAUCUUGAAUUACUGAAGGGUAACCAGAAUUCCACGUGUAGGGGUGAAAUCUGUAGAUAUGUGGAAGAAUACCAAUGGCGAAGGCAGGUUACCGGCAGAUAAUUGACGCUGAGGUGCGAAAGUGCGGGGAGCGAACAGG